AUUGAACGCUGGCGGCAGGCCUAACACAUGCAAGUCGAACGAGUGGCGGACGGGUGAGUAAUGUCUGGGAAACUGCCUGAUGGAGGGGGAUAACUACUGGAAACGGUAGCUAAUACCGCAUACCAUCGGAUGUGCCCAGAUGGGAUUAGCUAGUAGGUGGGGUAACGGCUCACCUAGGCGACGAUCCCUAGCUGGUCUGAGAGGAUGACCAGCGACGCUGGAACUGAGACACGGUCCAGACGCCUACGGGAGGCAGAAGUGGGGAAUAGUGCACAAGGGGAGCAAGCCGGAUGCAGCCAUGCCGCGUGUAUGAAGAAGGCAGUCGGGUUGUAAAGUACUUUCAGCGAGGAGGCGUUACCCGCAGAAGAAGCACCGGCUAACUCCGUGCCAGCAGCCGCGGUAAUAC
rnacentral:rRNA from 1 species